rnacentral:tRNA from 1 species
GUUUUAAUAGUUUAAUAAAAACAUCGGUCUUGUAAAUCGAAAAUAAGAAAUCUUCUUUUAAAACU